rnacentral:tRNA from 1 species
UAGCUCAGUUGGGAGAGCAUCUGCCUUACAAGCAGAGGGUCAGCGGUUCGAGCCC